rnacentral:lncRNA from 1 species
AAAAGAAAAAGAAAAAAAAAGGUGAAAGUCUGUGCGUAGUACUCGGUUGCUAUACUCUAUGUAAAUCACCUACUUUUCAAUUGGAUUUAUUUUAUUUGGUAAAAACACUUUGGUUUGGAUGCCUCGUGAAACUGUAUACUAUAAUGAGGUUUUGAUAGCAUAUGCUGCUUGUUCUUAAUAUUUGUUGGCUUGAAUGCCUCAUGAAACUGAAUGAAAUGUGAGGUCUUGAUAGCACAUUCUUGUUCUUAAUACUUUGUUACUUGCAUGGCACAUAAUUUGAACCGUAACACCCCCAAAUCCGGGUCCCUUGAACCUUGGGUCUAUUGCGUUAUGGUACUACACA